rnacentral:misc_RNA from 1 species
GAUGAAGAACGCAGCAAAAUGCGAUAAGUAAUGUGAAUUGCAGAAUUCAGUGAAUCAUCGAAUCUUGAACGCACAUUGCGCCCGCCAGUAUUCUGGCGGGCAUGCCUGUUCGAGCGUCAUUUCAACCCUCAAGCACAGCUUGGUGUUGGGACUCGCGUUAAUUCGCGUUCCUCAAAUUGAUUGGCGGUCACGUCGAGCUUCCAUAGCGUAGUAGUAAAACCCUCGUUACUGGUAAUCGUCGCGGCCACGCCGUUAAACCCCAACUUCUGAAUGUUGACCUCGGAUCAGGUAGGAAUACCCGCUGAACUUAAGCAUAUCAAUAAGCGGAGGA